CUCUUAUCAAGAGAGGUGGAGGGAAGUGCCCUUUGAAGCCCGGCAACCGUCAUGAAAAUGAAAUGGUGCCAAUUCACACAAAGCAAAGCUUGCUUUGGGAGAUGAGAG
rnacentral:ncRNA from 2 species